rnacentral:rRNA from 1 species
UACGUAGGCGGAAAAUUAAGUCAGUGGUGAAAUCCCGCAGCUUAACUGUGGAACUGUUAUUGAUACUGGUUUUCUUGAAUAUAGUUGAGGUAGGCGGAAUGUGUAAUGUAGCGGUGAAAUGCUUAGAUAUUACACAGAACACCGAUUGCGAAGGCAGCUUACUUAGCUAUGAUUGACGCUGAGGUACGAAAGCGUGGGGAGCGAACAGGAUUAGAUACCCUGGUAGUCC